rfam:Schistosoma rodhaini strain Burundi genome assembly, scaffold: SROB_scaffold0000843
GCGCUGCUGAAGAGUCUCACAAUAAGACGAAACGCUCGUCCAGUGC